UACAGAGGGGGCAAGCGUUAUUCGGAAUUAUUGGGCGUAAAGCGCGUGUAGGCGGCUUUGCAAGUCGGGUGUGAAAGCCCUCAGCUCAACUGAGGAAGUGCGCCCGAAACUGCAGAGCUUGAGUACCGGAGAGGAUGGUGGAAUUCCCCAAGUAGAGGUGAAAUUCGUAGAUAUGGGGAGGAACACCGGUGGCGAAGGCGACCAUCUGGACGGAUACUGACGCUGAGACGCGAAAGCGUGGGGAGCAAACAGG
rnacentral:rRNA from 1 species